GGCGCACGGGUGAGUAACGCGUGGGGACCUACCUCUUAGUGGGGGAUAACGGUUGGAAACGACCGCUAAUACCGCAUACGCCCUUCGGGGGAAAGAUUUAUCGCUAAGAGAUGGACCCGCGUUGGAUUAGAUAGUUGGUGAGGUAACGGCUCACCAAGUCAGCGAUCCAUAGCUGGUUUGAGAGGAUGAUCAGCCACACUGGGACUGAGACACGGCCCAGACUCCUACGGGAGGCAGCAGUGGGGAAUAUUGGACAAUGGGCGGAAGCCUGAUCCAGCCAUGCCGCGUGAGUGAAGAAGGCCUUCGGGUUGUAAAGCUCUUUCAGAUGCGAAGAUGAUGACGGUAACAUCAGAAGAAGCCCCGGCUAAUUUCGUGCCAGCAGCCGCGGUAAUACGAAAGGGGCAAGCGUUGUUCGGAUUUACUGGGCGUAAAGGGCACGCAGGCGGUCUUGCCAGUCAGGGGUGAAAGCCCGGGGCUCAACCCCGGAACUGCCUCUGAUACUGCAGGACUAGAGACUAGGAGAGGGUGGUGGAAUUCCCAGUGUAGAGGUGAAAUUCGUAGAUAUUGGGAGGAACACCAGAGGCGAAGGCGGC
rnacentral:rRNA from 1 species